GAGCUCAAAGCAAGGUCCCUGCCAUGGAUUCAGGCAUUGCUGAGAGUAUCCCAGGGGUAGCUGUCCCUGCUAGACAUGGAGCUCUCUAAUGGGCUGGAAUUGGGUGAUAAAAGUGGUGCUCCAAGUGCCAAAGCAGUGUGGGAUUGGGAUUAAGAAAUGAGCAGUGAUGGUCCAAUUGGCUGUUUUCUCUGCAAUGUGACUGUGAGAGCUGCAGGAGUGCCAGGUGUGUGUUCCAGUCCCCAGCAUUUGGUUUGCACAUGUCCUGGUCAGACACAGGUCCAACUUCCUCAGUUCUUGACCCAAGAGAGGGAGAAUGAAGGACUGGCAGUGUUAAGGUGAUUGGUGUGACAGGGGUUAAAUUGGGAAACCAUUGGGGAAUUCCUCAGUUUCCCUAUUUGCCAAACUCACCCAAACCUGUGCUAGGAAGAGAUUGAGUAGGAAAGUUGAGGCAGAAAUGAAAUUGAAAACUGGGGAUAUUGAAACAGUAAUUGCUGGAAAUAAAUGUGUCCAAGCAGCAGCUCUUGUUGUGCAGGGAAUAACUCCUGUCAGCAGCAAGGCCCCGACUGAAGUGGCAGCUGCAGUUGUUCCUGUGGUGUGGGCCAGUGGACUUCCAGGAGAGUGGAAGAGGGCAGAACCUGUAGGUAUUACCCCUGAUGUGGGAUCUCUACUGGUAAGGCAAACCCAGUAUCCUUUAAAAUCAGAAUGAUAGCUUGGAUUGGUUGCAGUAACAGCUAAAUUGGCUCAUCCUGGUUUGCUUGUAGGACGUGAAUGCAAGAACCUGCCAAGAAAAGCAAUGGCCAAGAUGAUUGAUGAGUGCAGGACCUGAGAGAACCACCUUGAAUGACAAUCUCAAGGAGUUUCCAGUACUGGAUAUAAAAGAUGGCCUUUGCUGCAUCUCCUUGAACAAGGAAAGCCAAGAAAUCUUUGCCUUUGAAGGAGAAAAUCUGGGAAGCGGGAAGGAAGAAGAGAAGCCACCUGACUCCUCCCUUAGCCCCAGACAGCCCAUGAACUGCCUUCCUGGGAAUGGUAGGACGGGCUGGACUCUGGAUUGCUCCCUCUGGAUGUGUGGCUCUCCCCUCAGGAACUGCAGGAACUCCUGGUGCCGCCUGGGCCGAUGGAUUGGACGCCCCAGCCCCUCCGUUCCUUCCCAGCCCCUGGGGCCGUGUCCAGUGGUGGCACUGCCAGCCCUGCAGUGGGAUGGAGCCUGGAAACUGCACAGAGCUGAGCCAAGGGAUUGAAAGGGACCAACCAAGGGAGGUGAAGAAAGAAGGUAGACGGGAACUGAGGCAGUAGACAAGCACCUCUAAGUUACACUGUAAACAGGAUGUGAAUGCAAGAACCUGCCAAGAAAAGCAAUGGCCAAGAUGAUUGAUGAGUGCAGGACCUGAGAGAACCACCUUGAAUGACAAUCUCAAGGAGUUUCCAGUACUGGAUAUAAAAGAUGGCCUUUGCUGCAUCUCCUUGAGCAAGGAAAGCCAAGAAACCUUUGCCUUUGAAGGAGAAAAUCUGGGAAGCGGGAAGGAAGAAGAGAAGCCACCUGACUCCUCCCUUAGCCCCAGACAGCCCAUGAACUGCCUUCUGGGAAUGGUAGGACGGGCUGGACUCUGGAUUACUCCCUCUGGAUGUGUGGUAAGACUGUUAUACCACCUUUUAAAAACAGCCUGUAAGCAUUUGCUGCCUUGGCUAGAUGAUGCAAGGGCAGCCUUUAAGCAGCUAAAGCAUUCCCUGAGGAGAGCUCUGGGUCUGCCAGAUGUCUCAGAACUGUUGGAAGCAUCUUUGGUGGGGAGGGCAAACAAAGGACAAGGUGUGCAGUGACCCCCUGACAAGGGACUUUGAGUUAAUGGCAUCCCUGCAAGUGAACUUUGUGGGCUGUUCCCCCUGUAGGGCAGGUGACAGUCCCAGCUGCAGUGAUGGGGUAAAAUAGUUAAAAGAGAACUCCAAAAGCUGGAAAUCCUCCUGGAGGCUCUUGGCCAAUAGAGUUUCCUGAGUUGCCCCUGAAAGAAGGACAGUGACAGCUUUUGAGUGCUAGUAGAUGCUUUUAAUAGAUAGCCUUGAGUGUGUCCUUGUUGCACCAGUAGGCCUUGUCAAAGUCCCCAUCUUCCAGGGGAUCUACAUAUUGAAGUUUCAAAUGCUCUCCAUAAUCCUUUGUUGUCUUGAGGCUCUCCCCUCAGGAACUGCAGGAACUCCUGGUGCCGCCUGGGCCGAUGGAUUGGACGCCCCAGCCCCUCCGUUCCUGCCCAGCCCCUGGGGCCGUGUCCAGUGGUGGCACUGCCAGCCCUGCAGUGGAAGUGGGAAGGGCCUUUGCAGGUCUUGUGGAUCACAUUUAGAGUAGCCAAAGUUGCAGAAAAAGGAUGUUGAGUCUCUUCUUCUUGAGUUCAGAAAGCUCCUUUUGAUUGGUGAGCAGAACAAAGUGGAUCCUUCAGAGUUCCCAUCCGUGUUUGUGUCUCAGCCUGUGUUAGGAUUCAGGGCUGUCAGUUGUUGUCACUGAGGAGUCAAACUCUGCUUUAAAUCAUGAGACACUGGCCUAAUGGCCAAGUGUCAAGAAAAAAGUGGGAAUGCUAUCUGAGUGUUGAGAUGUAACAAGGGCUAAUCCUUUUUGCAGUGGGAUGGAGCCUGGAAACUGCACAGAGCUGAGCCAAGGGAUUGAAAGGGACCAACCAAGGGAGGUGAAGAAAGAAGGAAGAAGGGAAGUGAGGCAGCAGCCAAGCAGCACCAAGUUCCUGUGUAAGCAGGGAAUAACUCCUGUCAGCAGCAAGGUCGUGACUGAAGUGGCAGCUGCAGUUGUUCCUGUGGUGUGGGCCAGUGGACUUCCAGGAGAGUGGAAGAGGGCAGAACCUGUAGGUAUUACCCCUGAUGUGGGAUCUCUCCUGGAUGUGAAUGCAAGAACCUGCCAAGAAAAGCAAUGGCCAAGAUGAUUGAUGAGUGCAGGACCUGAGAGAACCACCUUGAAUGACAAUCUCAAGGAGUUUCCAGUACUGGAUAUAAAAGAUGGCCUUUGCUGCAUCUCCUUGAGCAAGGAAAGCCAAGAAACCUUUGCUUUUGAAGGAGAAAAUCUGGGAAGCGGGAAGGAAGAAGAGAAGCCCCCUGACUCCUCCCUGAGCCCCAGACAGCCCAUGAACUGCCUUCCUGGGAAUGGUAGGACGGGCUGGACUCUGGAUUGCUCCCUCUGGAUGUGUGGCUCUCCCCUCAGGAACUGCAGGAACUCCUGGUGCCGCCUGGGCCGAUGGAUUGGACGCCCCAGCCCCUCCGUUCCUGCCCAGCCCCUGGGGCCGUGUCCAGUGGUGGCACUGCCAGCCCUGCAGGGGAAGUGGGAAGGGCCUUUCCAGUGGGAUGGAGCCUGGAAACUGCACAGAGCUGAGCCAAGGGAUUGAAAGGGACCAACCAAGGGAGGUGAAGAAAGAAGGUAGACGGGAACUGAGGCAGUAGACAAGCACCUCUAAGUUACACUGUAAACAGGAUGUGAAUGCAAGAACCUGCCAAGAAAAGCAAUGGCCAAGAUGAUUGAUGAGUGCAGGACCUGAGAGAACCACCUUGAAUGACAAUCUCAAGGAGUUUCCAGUAUUGGACAUAAAAGAUGGCCUUUGCUGCAUCUCCUUGAGCAAGGAAAGCCAAGAAACCUUUGCUUUUGAAGGAGAAAAUCUGGGAAGCGGGAAGGAAGAAGAGAAGCCCCCUGACUCCUCCCUUAGCCCCAGACAGCCCAUGAACUGCCUUCCUGGGAAUGGUAGGACAGGCUGGACUCUGGAUUGCUCCCUCUGGAUGUGUGGUAAGACUGUUAGGGCAACUUUUCCAACAGCCUGUAAGCAUUUGCUGCCUUGGCUAGAUGGUGCAAGGGCAGCCUUUAAGCAGCUAAAGCAUUCCCUGAGGAGGGCUCUGGGUCUGCCAGAUGUGUCAGAACUGUUGGAAGCAUCUUUGGUGGGGAGGGCAAACAAAGGCCAAGGUGUGCAGUGACCCCCCUGACAAGGGACUUUGAGUUAAUGGCAUCCCUGCAAGUGAACUUUGUGGGCUGUUCCCCCUGUAGGGCAGGUGACAGUCCCAGCUACAGUGAUGGGAAAAAUGGUAAAAGAGAACCUGAAAAGCUGGAAAUCCUCCUGGAGGCUCUUGGCCAACAGAGUUUCCUGAGUUGCCCCUGAAAGAAGGACAGUGACAGCUUUUGAGUGCUAGUAGAUGCUUUUAAUAGACAGCCUUGAGCGUGUCCUUGUUGCACCAGUAGGCCUUGUCAAAGUCCCCAUCUUCCAGGAGAUAUACAUAUUAAAGUUUCAAAUGCUCUCCAUAAUCCUUUGUUGUCUUGAGGCUCUCCCCUCAGGAACUGCAGGAACUCCUGGUGCCGCCUGGGCCGAUGGAUUGGACGCCCCAGCCCCUCCGUUCCUGCCCAGCCACUGGGGCCGUGUCCAGUGGUGGCACUGCCAGCCCUGCAGUGGGAUGGAGCCUGGAAACUGCACAGAGCUGAGCCAAGGGAUUGAAAGGGACCAACCAAGGGAGGUGAAGAAAGAAGGUAGACGGGAACUGAGGCAGUAGACAAGCACCUCUAAGU